UGUCCAGAGUGGUCCGUCUGCAUCCCGGGAGAACGAACCCCGCAGUAAGCUGAGAAAACCCCAUCGUGACACCAAAAGCGCCUUAUUGCGGUGAAACUUGCCAAGGGACAUUCAAGGGGUAAAAAGAGCAAAAGAAAUAACAAGCUGACCCUUGACAGUUAUGGCUUCCUGUCCAAGAUGUUUCUGUAGGAACUCUGAAUAUACGGAGGAUGAACUACUACUUCUAGAAGCCAGCACGGAGGAAGGGUGAGACGUUGGAGCAGACGGAAGCCAAGAGAGUGAGGUCGGCGUGACUCGAAGUUGCAAAAUGUGGAACUUGCUAUUUUGACAUAAAUGGAGUGCUUACCCUAAUAAACCGAAAAAAGUCCACGGCCAGCUGGACCAAACUCACAACUGUCCAUCGAGUGAGUACACUUUAACGUUAUUCAUGAUACAGACAGCACACACGCUGUCGAGCAAGCUGUGUACAAACAAAUCAUGAAAAAGUUUGGACACACCUCCUCAUUCAAUUAGUUUUCUUUAUUUUCAUGACUAUUUACAUUGUAGAUUGUCACUGAAGGCAUCAAAACUAUGAAUGAACACAUGUGGAGUUAUGUACUUCACAAAAAAAAAGGUGAAAUAACUGAAAACAUGUUUUGUAUUCGAGUUUCUUCAAAAUAGCCACCCUUUGCUCUGAUUACUUUUUCGCACUCUCUUGGCAUUCUCUCGAUGAGCUUCAAGAGGUAGUCACCUGAAAUGGUUUUCACUUCACAGGCGUGCUUGAUUUAUGUAAAAUACCCAAUGGUGAUACUUUUGUAAAGUUUAUAUGUUCAGCCUUACAAACUUAAAUGAAGGAAGAAGUGUAAAAAAAAUUUAAAAAAAUAAAGAAGGAAAAUAAUUUACAAGAAGGAACAUCAAUCCUCAGCAAAACUUCUGGAGCUUCUGUUUCUUCAUGCUGUUAACUAUCUGUCUGGCUGCACACGCCGGAAACGAGUAGUGAGGGCAGAAUUAUUAAUUUAUUGACAGUGCAGUGUGAAAGCUGGUUUGUUUACUUUGUAAUUAAGUAAACCUCCUAAGUCACAGGUGUCAAACUCAAGGCCCGGGGGCCACAUCUGGCCCGCAAACACCUGGAAAUAUUAUGUCAAUAAAGUACUUAAUAUUUCCUCACUAAAUGUAAUAGAUUUUUUUUAAAUUUUGGCAGAAAAAAUAUACGUACUGCUUGAAAUUGC